ensembl:lncRNA
UUAAAGGGCAGGAGGGAGGCUGUGUGAGAUGGAGGACAGGGAGGACAAUCAGAGUCCUGCUCGUCUGCCCACUACAGAGGACCAAGGAUUACAGGGAAGCCGUCAUGUUGAAGGGGACAACAAAUAGGUGGAUAGUAGAGACUAUGAAAACCAUUCAUAAUGUGAUGACUAGUUUAGUCACCAUCUACUUACAGUGGAGGUGAAAUCUAUCCACCAGAGGCCUCAUUACAAGUGAGCACACACGAGGUGUGAGGAGACACUGCCAGGGUCAAGACUGAAUCGUUCGGCUGCCUCGGACUACCUUUGGCUCCUCAUGUCGAAAGCUCACCCCAGAGGAUGUUACGGGAACGUGGAAUAUGUACCUGAUCCUACAUUGUUCCUACCACCUUUGUUUUUUAGACAGAAUAAUCAGCAGGUAGAGAUUAUUUUAUUUAACUAGGCAAGUCAGUUAAGAACAAAUUCUUAUUUACAAUGAAGGCCCUACCCCGGCCAAAUCCUAACCCAGACGACGCUGGACCAAUUGUGCACCGCCCUGUGGGACUCCCAAUCAUGACCGGUUGUGAUACAGCCUGGAAUCGAACCAGGGUCUGUAGAAAUGCCUCUAGCACUGAGAUGCAGUGCCUUAGACCGCUGCGCCACUCGGGAGCCCAUGACAUGAUAUGAAGGGCUGAGAUGGGUUUGAGCCUCUGUUGCUAAGGCGGAAUAUUGGGCAGUCGACGGUGCUCAGAAGCAGGCUUCAUAACCAACAGCAGCGACUCUCAUCUCAGCAGCUCCAGCAGCAGCUCCAGCAGCAGCUCCAGCAGCAGCUCCAGCAGCAGCUCCAGCAGCAGCUCCAGCAGCAGCUCCAGCAGCAGCUCCAGCAGCAGCUCCAGCAGCAGCUCCAGCAGCAGCUCCAGCAGCAGCUCCAGCAGCAGCUCCAGCGGUCACGAUAGAGACCGCUCUUCCCCUGUCACAAGUCAUUGGCGUUGCUUCCCCAUCCAUCCCCUCUCUCCUCUCACCAUGUGACCACUCCAGCCUGUAAGUUGAAGACAUCUGGUAGGCCUAUUGUGUCAUCUGCGAGACUAGCUAGUCUUGUGGUGACACUGGCCAACAGCACUCAGCAGAUAAUAACAGUGUGUCUGACAUGUUGACCCGUGGUGUCUUGAAGAGGCUCAGCCCUCUCUCACUCUAAAAGUAGCUUUUGUCUCAGUCUUGGAAAAUUAACUACAUUCAUGUGACUAUGAGCUUUUAGAAGCUUUGUUGUCCAAAAAAGGGUGUGUCAACGCAAUUCUCAUUCCUAGUUUUUUGGUGGAAGUUGAGAAUCGAUCCACAAAUGACAUGUAUUUAGAUAAAAGCCAACGUCACUUGAAUCCCAAUACCUGAGGAAUCUUCCCGAGAUACAUUACGCUUCAUAGGACCAUCUUCCCUCCUCUGCAUAAUUAUAUAUCAUACAAUUUCACUAUAACCAUUAACAUACUAAGCAUUCUGCUCCUUUUCAUUUCAUUCCAUCCCCCAAAACACACACACACAUAUACACACACACACACACACACACACACACACACACACACACACACACACACACACACACACACACACACACACACACACACACACACAAGGUCUGUCAUCGUAUUACAGAUAGCUAAAUCCACAUUCCCCUCUUUCAAAGACACGCUGUGCAUGUUGACGUUACUUUACAUAAUCCUUCCUUCUUCCUUCCUGUGGCUCGCAGUAGAAGUACUCCCGGCCAAUCGGAUCUCUCCUAGUUUUUCCUGAUUAGCAUAAUCAGCUAGUAUUAAUUAUUCACACGAGGAGCCGAACACGCGCUGAGGAUCAGGCCUUUGCUCCGUCUAGCAACCCGUGUUUAAUAUUAAAGAUGUACAACACGCGGCCUGAUUUGCAUCUGCAUUGCCGUCAUCGCCCCUCAGGUCCAGGCUUCAGGUAAGGAGCUGACGUCCCGGCCCCAUAUCUGUGGAACUCCGAAAACCCCAACUCAACUCUUCUUUUAACAUAACACAUAUCAAGGAAGUUGAUCAGGGGAGGCUAGCUUGGGCGGUCGUUAGGGUGCAAGCUUUAGCUUGGGCGGUCGUUAGGGUGCAAGCUUUAGCUUGGG